rnacentral:rRNA from 1 species
CUUACCGAUGGCGACCGGCGCACGGGUGAGUAACACGUAUCCAACCUGCCGAUAACUCGGGGAUAGCCUUUCGAAAGAAAGAUUAAUAUCCGAUAGGAUAUCAAGAUCGCAUGAUCUUGAUAUUAAAGAAUUUCGGUUAUCGAUGGGGAUGCGUUCCAUUAGUUAGUUGGCGGGGUAACGGCCCACCAAGACGACGAUGGAUAGGGGUUCUGAGAGGAAGGUCCCCCACAUUGGAACUGAGACACGGUCCAAACUCCUACGGGAGGCAGCAG